CCUUCUGAAAGGAAGAUUAAUACAAGAUGGCAUCAUGAGUCCGCAUGUUCACAUGAUUAAAGGUAUUCCGGUAGACGAUGGGGAUGCGUUCCAUUAGAUAGUAGGCGGGGUAACGGCCCACCUAGUCUUCGAUGGAUAGGGGUUCUGAGAGGAAGGUCCCCCACAUUGGAACUGAGACACGGUCCAAACUCCUACGGGAGGCAGCAGUGAGGAAUAUUGGUCAAUGGGCGAGAGCCUGAACCAGCCAAGUAGCGUGAAGGAUGACUGCCCUAUGGGUUGUAAACUUCUUUUAUAAAGGAAUAAAGUCGGGUAUGCAUACCCGUUUGCAUGUACUUUAUGAAUAAGGAUCGGCUAACUCCGUGCCAGCAGCCGCGGUAAUACGGAGGAUCCGAGCGUUAUCCGGAUUUAUUGGGUUUAAAGGGAGCGUAGAUGGAUGUUUAAGUCAGUUGUGAAAGUUUGCGGCUCAACCGUAAAAUUGCAGUUGAUACUGGAUAUCUUGAGUGCAGUUGAGGCAGGCGGAAUUCGUGGUGUAGCGGUGAAAUGCUUAGAUAUCACGAAGAACUCCGAUUGCGAAGGCAGCCUGCUAAGCUGCAACUGACAUUGAGGCUCGAAAGUGUGGGUAUCAAACAGGAUUAGAUACCCUGGUAGUCCACACGGUAAACGAUGAAUACUCGCUGUUUGCGAUAUACGGCAAGCGGCCAAGCGAAAGUCGUUAAGUAUUCCACCUGGGGAGUAC
rnacentral:rRNA from 1 species